GCCUAACACAUGCAAGUCGAGCGGAAACGACAUUAUUGAAUCUUCGGAGGAUUUAAUGGGCGUCGAGCGGCGGACGGGUGAGUAAUGCCUAGGAAAUUGCCUUGAUGUGGGGGAUAACCAUUGGAAACGAUGGCUAAUACCGCAUAAUGCCUACGGGCCAAAGAGGGGGAUCUUCGGACCUCUCGCGUCAAGAUAUGCCUAGGUGGGAUUAGCUAGUUGGUGAGGUAAUGGCUCACCAAGGCGACGAUCCCUAGCUGGUCUGAGAGGAUGAUCAGCCACACUGGAACUGAGACACGGUCCAGACUCCUACGGGAGGCAGCAGUGGGGAAUAUUGCACAAUGGGCGAAAGCCUGAUGCAGCCAUGCCGCGUGUAUGAAGAAGGCCUUCGGGUUGUAAAGUACUUUCAGUUGUGAGGAAGGGGGUAACGUUAAUAGCGUUAUCUCUUGACGUUAGCAACAGAAGAAGCACCGGCUAACUCCGUGCCAGCAGCCGCGGUAAUACGGAGGGUGCGAGCGUUAAUCGGAAUUACUG
rnacentral:rRNA from 1 species